rnacentral:rRNA from 1 species
GCACAACGCGAAGAACCUUACCCACCUUUGACAUGUACGGAAUCCUUUAGAGAUAGAGGAGUGCUCGAAAGAGAGCCGUAACACAGGUGCUGCAUGGCUGUCGUCAGCUCGUGUCGUGAGAUGUUGGGUUAAGUCCCGCAACGAGCGCAACCCUUGCCAUUAGUUGCUACAUUUAGUUGAGCACUCUAAUGGGACUGCCGGUGACAAACCGGAGGAAGGUGGGGAUGACGUCAAGUCCUCAUGGCCCUUAUAGGUGGGGCUACACACGUCAUACAAUGGCUGGUACAAAGGGUUGCCAACCCGCGAGGGGGAGCUAAUCCCAUAAAGCCAGUCGUAGUCCGGAUCGCAGUCUGCAACUCGACUGCGUGAAGUCGGAAUCGCUAGUAAUCGUGGAUCAGAAUGUCGCGGUGAAUACGUUCCCGGGUCUUGUACACACCG